rnacentral:rRNA from 1 species
CCUACGGGUGGCAGCAGUGGGGGAUAUUGCACAAUGGGGGAAACCCUGAUGCAGCGACGCCGCGUGGGUGAAGAAGCGCCUCGGCGUGUAAAGCCCUGUCAGCAGGGAAGAAAAUGACGGUACCUGUAGAAGAAGCCCCGGCUAACGACGUGCCAGCAGCCGGGGUAAUACGUAGGGGGCAAGCGUUAUCCGGAUUUACGUGGUGUAAAGGGGGCGCAGACGGCGCUGCAAGCCCGGAGUGAAAGACCCGGGCCAAACCCCGGGACUGCUCUUGAAACUGCGUGGCUAGAGUGCAGGAGGGGCAUGCGGAAUGCCUGGUGUAGCGGUGAAAUGCGUAGAUAUCAGGCAGAACACCGGUGGCGAAGGCGGCCUGCUGGACUGCAACUGACGUUGAGGCCCGAAAGCGUGGGGAGCGAACAGGAUUAGAUACCCGGGUAGUC